ACGAACGCUGGCGGCGUGGAUAAGACAUGCAAGUCAAACGAGAGAAUUGCUAGCUUGCUAAUAAUUCUCUAGUGGCGCACGGGUGAGUAACACGUGAGUAACCUGCCCCCGAGAGCGGGAUAGCCCUGGGAAACUGGGAUUAAUACCGCAUAGUAUCGAAAGAUUAAAGCAGCAAUGCGCUUGGGGAUGGGCUCGCGGCCUAUUAGUUAGUUGGUGAGGUAACGGCUCACCAAGGCGAUGACGGGUAGCCGGUCUGAGAGGAUGUCCGGCCACACUGGAACUGAGACACGGUCCAGACACCUACGGGUGGCAGCAGUCGAGAAUCAUUCACAAUGGGGGAAACCCUGAUGGUGCGACGCCGCGUGGGGGAAUGAAGGUCUUCGGAUUGUAAACCCCUGUCAUGUGGGAGCAAAUUAAAAAGAUAGUACCACAAGAGGAAGAGACGGCUAACUCUGUGCCAGCAGCCGCGGUAAUACAGAGGUCUCAAGCGUUGUUCGGAAUCACUGGGCGUAAAGCGUGCGUAGGCUGUUUCGUAAGUCGUGUGUGAAAGGCGCGGGCUCAACCCGCGGACGGCACAUGAUACUGCGAGACUAGAGUAAUGGAGGGGGAACCGGAAUUCUCGGUGUAGCAGUGAAAUGCGUAGAUAUCGAGAGGAACACUCGUGGCGAAGGCGGGUUCCUGGACAUUAACUGACGCUGAGGCACGAAGGCCAGGGGAGCGAAAGGGAUUAGAUACCCCUGUAGUCCUGGCAGUAAACGGUGCACGCUUGGUGUGCGGGGAAUCGACCCCCUGCGUGCCGGAGCUAACGCGUUAAGCGUGCCGCCUGGGGAGUACGGUCGCAAGAUUAAAACUCAAAGAAAUUGACGGGGACCCGCACAAGCGGUGGAGUAUGUGGCUUAAUUCGAUGCAACGCGAAGAACCUUACCUGGGCUUGACAUGUAAUGAACAACAUGUGAAAGCAUGCGACUCUUCGGAGGCGUUACACAGGUGCUGCAUGGCCGUCGUCAGCUCGUGUCGUGAGAUGUUUGGUUAAGUCCAGCAACGAGCGCAACCCCUGUUGCCAGUUACCAGCACGUGAAGGUGGGGACUCUGGCGAGACUGCCCAGAUCAACUGGGAGGAAGGUGGGGACGACGUCAGGUCAGUAUGGCCCUUAUGCCCAGGGCUGCACACGUACUACAAUGCCCAGUACAGAGGGGGCCGAAGCCGCGAGGCGGAGGAAAUCCUAAAAACUGGGCCCAGUUCGGACUGUAGGCUGCAACCCGCCUACACGAAGCCGGAAUCGCUAGUAAUGGCGCAUCAGCUACGGCGCCGUGAAUACGUUCCCGGGUCUUGUACACACCGCCCGUCACAUCAUGGAAGCCGGUCGCACCCGAAGUAUCUGAAGCCAACCGCAAGGAGGCAGGGUCCUAAGGUGAGACUGGUAACUGGGAUG
rnacentral:rRNA from 1 species